rnacentral:rRNA from 1 species
GCUUGUCUCAAAGAUUAAGCCAUGCAUGUCUAAGCACAAGCCGUAAAUGGUGAAGCCGCGAAUGGCUCAUUACAACAGCCAUAGUUUAUUAGAUCUUACUCUUCUACUUGGAUAACUGUGGUAAUUCUAGAGCUAAUACAUGCAAUUAAGCUCAGACCUUACGGAAUGAGCGCUUUUAUUAGAACAAAACCAAUCGGGCUCCGGUCCGCUCUUUGGUGAAUCUGAAUAACUCAGCUGAUCGCACGGUCCUCGUACCGGCGACAUAUCUUUCAAAUGUCUGCCUUAUC